AGUUAGCUAUUUUUCCCCAAAUUCUUCUCCUCCAAACCAUCCACAAGAACCUAUCUAGAGCGACGAUUACUAAACAAAACCCUAAGCAAGACCCACAAAAGAAGAAACAGAUCCCUAAGCCAUGAACGGUACCUCACCAGCUCUAGCGAGGGAAUUGUUCUCGCCAAACAAUAAAAAUCCAUUGUUUAUUUGCUGUCCUGCGUUCCCUCUCUCUCUCGACCGUGCUUUCUUUCCUCUCUCUUCGACUACGCUCCAUUUUCAGAAAGGACCUCACCAUUAAUUGACCUCGCCAGCGCAGGGAAAGGGGUUUUACACGGCGACAAUCAAAACCCAUUUCAGGGAGGCCUUACUGCUACAGAUGUUUUUGCGGUUGAGUGGAUUCAGACUGGUGUUAUUCACUUUGGGAUGACAGUCUCAUAUUUUGGUUUUGUUAGUGAUGUGUUGGAACUUUCUGAGAAAUAUCAGAGGCGCUUUGGUCCUCUGUGUUAUCUUGUUGCUGGAUUUCUAGUUCUAAUGCUUGCCAAAGUACAACUAUGAAGUGAAAUAUCUUCCAGCAUCAAAAGAGGAUCGAGAGGGAAAGUUCUCAGCUGACUGGGAGGUAGUUGACAUGUCAGAACUUUACACUGAUAUUUUGAGGAGAUCAAGCAAAGACAGCAUUCCUAGAGCCUCUAGUCUAUCUAGUAUUGACUCAAUAAUGACCCCUAGUCGAAUGUCUGGUGAAGAUUUGGAUACAACCUGCAGUAGUACCCAUGCUAGCACUGAACCAUCUGACUAUGUGCCUGGCCUAGAUCCAAAAGCGAAACACCUAUCAUCUGGAAGGAGCAAUGUAACAGCAGAGCCAGAGGUUAUUCAUCCUCAGCCACCUCUGUCAACAACUCCAAAAGGAAUGACUCAUGGCUACAUGAUCAAAAGGAAUCUAUUUUCAAAGUGGGCAUAUCACAUGAACAAAAGUCUAAUCGAGUAAUGUAAUAAGGAGGGCCUUGAAGUGUUAUAAAAAAAUAAAAAGGAGGGUCUUGAAGUACUAGGGGUGUUUCUCUCUCCUUGUUAAACCCUUUAACCUGAUGGUUAUAUCUUUUAUGAUAUAAAUAAAAUCAAGUACAAAAAAGUCUAGGAAACAUGGUCCUUAUGCAUCAACUAAUAAUUGCUCGUUCUUAUAAAUUUGAUUGGGCUGGUAUUUGGAAUGAAA